rnacentral:rRNA from 1 species
AUAAGCUAUUAAGGGCUGACGGCGGAUGCCUUGGCAUCGGAAGGCGAUGAAGGACGUGGCAAGCUGCGAUAUGCUUCGGGGAGUUGUUAACAAGCGUUGAUCCGGAGAUUUCCGAAUGGGGAAACCCGGCAGGAGUUAUAUCCUGUCAUCCUUACCUGAAUACAUAGGGUAAGGAGGCGAACGCGGGGAACUGAAACAUCUCAGUACCUGCAGGAAAAGAAAUCAAUAGAGAUUCCGUGAGUAGCGGCGAGCGAAAACGGAAGAGCCCAAACCGGCGUAUUUAUAUGCCGGGGUUGUAGGACCCCGAUACGGGAUUGAUAAUGGAUAGUAGAACGGCAUGGAAAGGCCGACCAGAGACGGUGAUAGUCCGGUAUACGAAAUCUUGAUUCACCCCAGGGUGUUCCUGAGUACCACGAGACACGUGAAACCUCGUGGGAAUCUGGGAGGACCAUCUUCCAAGGCUGAAUACUAACCGAUGACCGAUAGUGAACAAGUACCGUGAGGGAAAGGUGAAAAGAACGGGGAGAACCCGAGUGAAAUAGAAACUGAAACCGUCAGCUUACAAGCAGUUGGAGCACUAUGUAUUGUACAGUGUGACAGCGUGCCUUUUGCAUAAUGAGUCAACGACUUAUCCUGUGCAGCGAGGUUAAGCCGCGAGGCGGAGCCGUAGCGAAAGCGAGUCUUAAAAGGGCGAAUGAGUUGUAUGGGGUAGACCCGAAGCCGGGUGAUCUAUCCAUGGCCAGGGUGAAGUCUCGGUAACACGAGAUGGAGGCCCGAACCGAUAUAGGUUGAAAACUGUUCGGAUGAGCUGUGGAUAGGAGUGAAAGGCUAAUCAAACUCGGUGAUAGCUGGUUUUCUCCGAAAUAUAUUUAGGUAUAGCCUCAUAUGAUGACCGACGGAGGUAGAGCACUGACAGGGCUAGGGGUCCCACCGGAUUACCACCCCCUUUCAAACUCCGAAUGCCGUCGAGUUCAAGUGUGGGAGUCAGACUGUGGGAGAUAAGUUCCAUGGUCGAGAGGGAAACAGCCCAGACCGUCAGCUAAGGUCCCUAAACCGUGCUAAGUGGAUAAGGAUGUGGAAUUGUGAAUACAACCAGGAGGUUGGCUUAGAAGCAGCAAUCCUUUAAAGAAAGCGUAACAGCUCACUGGUCUAAUGAAUCUGCGCCGAAAAUGUAACGGGGCUAAGCAUGGUACCGAAGCUACGGACUCAGAGGACAGAGUACAGAUGGCAGCAAAUGAAGUAAGACGGGAAUGCCGGAGGGGUUCUACCGGGAAAUUUCCAGAGUGCUUCAGGGACUACACGGGAGUUGGAGAUGAUGCUCCGGCCCCCUCUGUCAUUUGUCCUCUGGCCUCUGAGUGGUAGGAGAACGUUGUGGCCGCCUGAGAAGGUACACCGUGAGGAGUGCUGGAGGUUCCACAAGAGCUUAUGUUGACACGAGUAGCGAUAAACAAGGUGAGAAACCUUGUCGCCGAAAGCCUCAGGUUUCCUUUAGUCAAGUUAAUCUGCUAAGGGUUAGUCGGCCCCUAAGGCGAGGCCGAAAGGCGUAGUCGAUGGGAAACAGGUUAAUAUUCCUGUACCAUUUUCAUAAUGUCAUGGUGAGGGGGGACGGAGAAGGUAAGGCCAUCCGGGCGUUGGUUGUCCCGGUUCAAGCGUGUAGGUGGAGAACUUUGGCAAAUCCGGGUUCUUAAUAACACUGAGGCGUGACGACGAUGUCUAACGACAGCAAAGUGGCUGGUUCCAUGCUUCCAGGAAAAUCCUCGUACCUAGUUAUGAAUGUGACCGUACCGUAAACCGACACAGGUAGGCAGGUAGAGAAUACCAAGGCGCUUGAGAGAACUCUGGUUAAGGAACUCGGCAAAAUAGCACCGUAACUUCGGGAGAAGGUGUGCCUGCGUGGUGAUGUGCGUUUACCGCAUGGAGCCUAGUCAGGUUGCAGUGAAAUGGGGGGAGCGACUGUUUACUAAAAACACAGGACUCUGCGAAAUCGCAAGACGAUGUAUAGGGUCUGACGCCUGCCCGGUGCCGGAAGGUUAAGGGGACAUGUUAGCGCGAGCGAAGCAUUGAACCGAAGCCCCGGUAAACGGCGGCCGUAACUAUAACGGUCCUAAGGUAGCGAAAUUCCUUGUCGGGUAAGUUCCGACCUGCACGAAUGGCGUAACGAU